rnacentral:rRNA from 1 species
GACGAACUGUGCAAACGUUAUUCGGAAUCACUGGGCUUAAAGGGUGCGUAGGCGGUCUUGUAAGUAGGGUGUGAAAGCCCCCGGCUCAACCGGGGAACUGCGUCCUAAACUGCGAGGCUUGAGUGAGGUAGGGGUGUGUGGAACUUCCAGUGGAGCGGUGAAAUGCGUAGAUAUCAGGAGGAACACCGGUGGUGUAAACGGCUUUCUGGACCAUAACUGACGCUGAGGCACGAAAGCGUGGGUAGCAAACAGG